GUGCUCACUUCAGCAGCAUGUAUACUAAAAUUGGAACAAUAUAAGGAUUAGCAUGGCCCCUGCACAAGGGUGACAUUCAAAUUCGUGAAAUGUUCCAUAUUUUU
rnacentral:snRNA from 1 species